UGGAUUAGGCAUGCAAGUCGAGCGGAAAGGCCCGCAAGGGCACUCGAGCGGCGUAAGGGACAGUAAUGUGUAGGUACGUACCCCUGGGUCUAGGAUAGCUGCGGGAAACUGCAAUUAAUACUAGAUGAUGUCUUCGGACCAAAGGUGUGAUUCCACCCAGGGAGCGGCCUACAUCCUAUUAGCUAGUUGGUGAGGUGACGGCUCACCAAGGCGAAGAUGGGUAGCAGGUGUGAGAGCACGACCUGCGUCACUGGGACUGAGACACUGCCCAGACACCUACGGGUGGCUGCAGUCGAGAAUCUUCGGCAAUGGGCGCAAGCCUGACCGAGCGACGCCGCGUGCGGGAUGAAGGCCCUCGGGUUGUAAACCGCUGUCGGAGGGGAGGAAAUGCGAGAGAGCAAUCUCUCUCGUUUGACCUAUCCUCGGAGGAAGUACGGGCUAAGUUCGUGCCAGCAGCCGCGGUA
rnacentral:rRNA from 1 species